rnacentral:lncRNA from 1 species
AGUGGAACUGCAAUACAAUGCCUUGCAGAAAUUAAUGCAAAUACAAUUAAUUAUAAAAAGUUUUCGCAAAUUUGAAUAAUCUUUUUAAAAGUUAUCGCAAAAAUUACAAGAAAUUGAAUAAGCAUUUCAAUAUCAUACAGAUAUUUUACACAAAUUAAGAAAUCAUUUCAUAAUGUACAAACAUUACAGAAAAUAAGAUUCCGAUUUCAAAGUAUCAUAAAACGAUUUCAAAAAUUUAUGUGAACAUUUCGGAAAUAAUAAAUUAAACAUGGAAACCACUUCGAAGAAAAAUAUCAAUAUUGCUAUUUGAGAUAUAUUUACUUAGAAUAUUUGAAUUAUAUUUAUUUACUUGAAUAAUUAAUUGCAUGUAAAAUUAGAUUAAACCAGAGAAUCUAUAACUUUUGACAUUCAUAUAGGUAUUCACAUGAGAAUAUAUCUUAAAAUAAUGGAGUUUCGUUUAACUGAAUGCCUAUAAUUGUCAUCUAAUUACUUUUGUUGUCGAAGGCAUGAGGUAGAAUAUAUAUUUAUAAUUCUGCAGUUGCAAUAAAAUAACUGAUAACUGUGCUUUUAUUUUUUUAAUUUAUUUUCCAUUUAAAUUCAACGAUUUCUCUAAUUUCUGAUAACAAGUUGUUCUCAGAAAAUGUUUCUUUUUUGAUGUAUUUGAACACGUAGUAGCCUCUGGUCAUUACGUGCUCAAACACAUCAAAAAAGAAACUUUUUUUUUUUUCUUAUCUGUCAAAUUUGAGAUUUUUCAUUUACUUUGCGCAUCCUUGUGUGCAAUGCUUUUGAAUGUUUUCUUUCUUCAGAUCGUACUUUGGAAUUUUCUUUAUAUGAAACUGGCAAUUAACAAACAAUCGAUUUACCGAUUCAGUUAUGUAGAUAAUAAUUAUAAUUAUUAUCUCAAAAUAAAAAUAAUUAUAAUUUCUGAAAUAAAUGAAAUAUUUAAAUGUGAAGUUCAUGUAUCCUCGGCUCACCGAAUGCAAACUGAAAAAGCCAACAUUUUUCGAUCGAAGAAGCCAGAAAUUGAAGUCGAAUAACAAAAAGAAGUAUACAAACAUAAAUAGCAAGUAAACUAUGAUAAUUAAAACAAAAU